rnacentral:lncRNA from 1 species
ACUCUACUUUCAAGGGUAUUUCUUUUACUUAUUUUAAAGCACUAAUUUCUUAAUGGCAUUAGAUAUUAUGGGUACAUAUACAAAAAAGAAAGAAAAAGAAAGGUAUAUAUGGAAGACAAGUAUUUAAUGAGGGUAUAGAUGUAAAUAAUAACUUUGUGAGAGUAUUCAUAUAUUUUUGUAUAUUUAGGAGGGUAUACACUCAAAAAACCCUUUGUAUUAUAAUGUAUUAUAAUGUUUCAACAUAUGUU